UUGAAGCAAGAUAUCCUUUAAUUUUGUAAACAAUGUAAGAUAUGUGAAAUAAUCUGUAGAGAAGGCCAAACAUUAAUAAAAAAAACGUUUCCUGUUAUUACACGUGUGUGUGGUGUCUUUUUCAAAAAAAAAAAAAAUAGGUGGGGGUUGGGGGAUACAGUAAUACGAGUGCUUGGGUGCCAAAUACACUUCGGGGCGACCCUCAGCUCUACGCCCCGCCCACAUCCUCUCGGCCCGGACGCAUUCCGCUCAGGCGAGCCUCGGGCCAUUUAUGGACCGGACCGUCGGCGGGCAAUCCUGGGGCUCGUAUGACUCUUGUGUGCUCCUGCAGAAUAGACGGCCAAACUGCACGCGUAAUACAAGCCUUAUCUCGAGGCUAGGGAGCGUUUCAUGGACGCAAAUAAGGAGCUUGGAGACUCAUUCUCAGGUCCCGUUAAACAGCAGAAACAGGAACAACCAAAUACAGAGCAUGACGACGCUGUGUACCUGAACUUCAUGAAAAGUCACACCUGCUAUGACGCCAUUCCAACCAGCUGCAAACUGGUCGUGUUCGACACCAAGUUACAGGUCAAGAAGGCAUUUUUUGCCCUGGUGGCAAACGGCCUCAGAGCUGCCCCCUUAUGGGACAGCAAGCUGCAAAGGUUUGUGGGCAUGUUGACCAUCACCGAUUUCAUCAACAUCCUGCAUCACUAUUAUAAAUCUCCUAUGGUUCAGAUCUAUGAGCUGGAGAGUCACAAGAUUGAGACAUGGAGAGAUAUCUACCUGCAGUAUUCCCAUCAAUUCCUGAUCAGCAUUUCUCCUAAAGCCAGUCUGUACGACGCCAUCUACUUCCUGUUGAAACAUAAGAUCCACAGACUGCCCGUCCUCGACCCCGAGUCUGGGAACGUCCUUCACAUCCUCACCCACAAGAGGAUCCUCAAGUUCCUGCACAUCUUCGGUCGGACGGUCCCGAAGCCGAAGUUCAUCCACCGGUCGAUCCAGGAGCUCGGGAUCGGAACGUUCCGGAACAUCGCCACCAUUGCGCAGACGGCCAGCGUGUACGACGCCCUCGCCGUGUUCGUGGAGCGGCGGGUGUCCGCCCUACCGGUGGUGGACGAGCAGGGAAAAGUAGUGGCUCUCUAUUCCCGGUUUGACGUGAUCAAUCUGGCAGCCCAGAAGACGUACAACAACCUGCACAUGAGCAUGGGGGAGGCGGUGCGGCGACGCAUGUGCUUCGUGGAGGGCGUGAUCACGUGCUACGCCCACGAGACGCUGGACGCCGUCGUGGAGCGCAUCGUCCAGGCAGAGGUCCACCGGUUGGUCCUGGUGGACUCGGGGGCCGUGGUGCGGGGGAUCGUCUCCCUCUCCGACAUCCUCCAGGGCCUGGUGCUGGCACCGGCGGGGAUCGACUGCCUGUUGUCCUAAAAACAGCCCCCGCCCCUGACCCCUGACCCCUGACCCCCCGC